rnacentral:sRNA from 1 species
GCACCGUUAAUGGAUCAGGAGGAUCCGUA